CAAUUCUCCAGUCAUUCGUUGAACGUGUUGUUGUAGAUUGUUGGUAUUCCAUUGAUUUCCCACCAAAGAUCAGCCUGYUUUCUGGUCAACUGGUACGUUAGGUAAUUCAGUAUUGAUGUGUUGUGGUGUAAUGGCUGAUGUAAACAGAGUUUAGAGAUCAGUCAAGCAUGGCAGAGGUAGAAGCAGUAGAUCCAGAUUGGUGUGGAUAUGAAUGCAAGUCAGGACAGAUUCUGUUCUACUAUAACAAGAGAACAGGAGAACACAGAUGGGAAGGUGGUGAUUAUAUUUUCAUGUCAGAGACAGAUAAAAUAGAUCCAGAUUGGUGUGGUUAUGAAUGUAAGUCAGGAGAGAUUCUGUUCUACUAUAACAAGACAACAGGAGAACACAGAUGGGCAGGUAGUGAGCAUGUAAG